AUGCUGUAAUGCUUAUAAGUGUAUCCCUGCAAAGUUCAAGUACGCCUAUAUGUUUUGAUCAAUACGCCUCUGCGCAGGCGAUAAUCUGCAUUUAUUCCUAUGUGCUAACAUUCAAGCCUCUACGUAGGCGACCUUUCACCUUAAUGAAUGCUAUAAAUUACUGCUUAAGCCCCUGCGUGGGCAACCUCUUGCUUUAUUACGAACCAGUUUGCAAUAUGCAC